rnacentral:rRNA from 1 species
UACGUAGGGAGCAAGCGUUGUCCGGAAUCAUUGGGCGUAAAGCGCGCGUAGGUGGCCAUGUAAGUCCGCUGUGAAAGUCAAAGGCUCAACCUUUGAAAGCCGGUGGAUACUGCAUGGCUAGAGUACGGAAGAGGCGAGUGGAAUUCCUGGUGUAGCGGUGGAAUGCGCAGAUAUCAGGAAGAACACCAAUGGCGAAGGCAGCUCUCUGGGACGGUACUGACGCUGAGACGCGAAAGCGUGGGGAGCAAACAGG